AGGAUGAACGCUGGCGGCGUGCCUAAUACAUGCAAGUCGAGCGGUAAGGCCACUUCGGUGGUACACGAGCGGCGGACGGCUGAGUAACACGUAGGAACGUACCCCAAAGUGAGGCAUAAGCACCAGAAAUGGUGUCUAAUACCGCAUGUGAUCUUCGGAUUAAAGCUUCGGCGCUUUGGGAACGGCCUGCGCAUGAUUAGCUUGUUGGUGAGGUAAUAGCUCACCAAGGCGACGAUCAUUAGCUGGUCUGAGAGGAUGACCAGCCAGACUGGGACUGAGAACGGCCCAGACUCCUACGGGAGGCAGCAGUAGGGAAUUUUCCACAAUGGGCGAAAGCCUGAUGGAGCAACGCCGCGUGCAGGAUGAAUGCCUUCGGGUUGUAAACUGCUUUUAUCUGUGAAGAUUAUGACGGUAGCAGAUGAAUAAGGAUCGGCUAACUCCGUGCCAGCAGCCGC
rnacentral:rRNA from 1 species